rnacentral:lncRNA from 1 species
GAAGUUCUGGGAGUAGCUGUGCAAGUCGUAGCCGAACCUCACCGCGGCCUGCCUCGGCCGCGCGGCGCGUCUCCUCCUCCAGGAGGACCUCAGCCUCGACAGCAGCUGCUUCACCGCCGCCGCCGCCGACCGGCCGCUGCUCCUGCUGCCGCUGGCGUACAGGCUCAGCUGCAGCUGGGUUGCCAUCGCCUCUUGAUCGCUCACACACUUCUCACAAGGUUGUAGCUACCCUCGCAACUAGCUUCCCUCUUUGCUCCGAGCACACGAGCUAUCUCUGCAGCUGGUAGCUUCUGAACUGAAGAUCCUGUGCAGAAGAAACCACCCAUUGUGCAGCUUUUAUAAUAAGCUCGCGGUUGGGGUGUGUCCCGACAGGCGUCAACGUCGCCAGCGGCCAGCGAGACCCAGCCAAGCGGCACGCACGCACUGACUCACUCGCGUACAUGGUGACGAGGAAUCCACUGUGACCGACGGUCAUCGGAAUGGUUCAGGCAAAAGCCGAUUUCAGGCAUCUUUAUUUUUCGGAAUCGCCGUCGUGCAGUCCAUAAGCAUGUGUGCAUUCGGUUUGCUGGUAGGGCUUUAAGAUCAGGUGGCGGUUCGGCGCGGUGUCCUGUUCCAUCAUUCCAUUGCGCGGAGCUGCAUGCACAUGCAUGGACGUGUCGACACGCGCGCAGCGGCGCCGGCGGUGUUGCAUGUCACAUACUCACGUGCAAAAUGCGUUCCACUGCAUAGGUGUGGCCUGCCGAAUCGAUCCCAGAACAUGCAUGCAUGGCUACGAGAUUCGCCCGCUUGCAAUGCAAAGUACUAGUGCUGAACAUACAGGGGAUGUCAUCACAGAUCGGGAAGCCGGUUUUACGAGACCGGUGGUGAUGUCUUCCAUUGAUAAUGUUUCUUUUCACUGCCAGUCCAUAAAUAAGUUCGGUGAUGAAAUUAAAGCAGACCUCCAAAUCCAAAAAUUUUAUCACCUACUCUUUUUUUAUCAACCUGACGUCCGCUCUCUUAUCCUCUCCCGUCCCUCACUCCAUCCCCACCGCCACCCCUUCAUCUCCCACCGUGCGCGUCCCUCACCUCCCCCUGCCACCCCUCCCCUCCGAGCGGCAAGCCCCUCCCCUCUCUCUCCCCCCUCUCUCCUCUCCCUUAUCCACUCCCAGCCCCCCUCCCCGACCCGGUCCUGUCCUCUCUCUCUCCCCCCCUCUCUCUCCCAAUCUCCUCUCUAAUCACCACCGGGUGGCGGCCGGAGGGUGGGCUGAUUUUUUUUGUCUCUUUCUAAUGAACAUCACCGCUGGGUUCAGCUCCGUUGGUGAGGGGAUGCCGUUGACCCUUUACCAACAACACCCAUAACCGACGGUGAUGUCGUUUUUGGGACCGACGGUGAUAGGAUCUUGUGUAGUAGUGAACUGAUUCUAAAUUUUUUGGAUGAUCUUAUCCUUGUACUACUAGCAAAUUAAAUCCGAAAGUAUGUAACUUCACAGUACAUCACGUGUCGAAGUUUGGAACAUGGUCUUUGGAUAACGGAUAGCUUCAAAAAAAAAUGUCAUCGAGUCAGUCAUGCAUAGGAUCGAGGUGGGAGCAGAUCACAAAGUGUCGCCUCUACCGACUACAACCCUAAAGAAAAGAGUAAAGGAAACGCACUAGGGUUUAAAGCAAAAAACUCUAGAUGAGAGGAACAAAAGCUGUUAUUUGCAUGCAAUAGAGUAAUCGGUCUGAUCCGGAUGAUCUGCAGAUCACCGAAAAGGGACGGUCGUUGGCGGCGGCAGCAUGGGGAUGUCGUAUAAAUCAUCUGAUCGAGUCAUCAUGGUCCAAGGAUGAUUGAUAAAAUUCACUGUUGAGGUUUUGCCUUGAUGCUAGUUAUCACUAAUGGCGCCGCUCCCUUUGAUUUCCUUCAACCCGAGAUCAGUGAAGAUUGAAUUUUGAUGAUUUUGACGGGUGAUGCUUCCUACUAAUUAAAGUUCGAUUCCAAUAGUCUUUGUUUUUCCAGGACAAUUGCAUGGAUCUUUUAAGGAAUUUUGUAGGAUUAAUCUCAGUAAUAAGGGAACGCUUUUUUCUUAUGAAGUGAUUUUGAAUAUUUGAUUUUUCUUCAAAAUUCACGCUUGCUAGCUAUUCUAAUACUCCAUCCGUCCCAAAUUGUAGGUCGUUUUAGCAUUUCUAGGUCAUGAAUCUAAAAAUCUAAAUUGACUUACAAUUUGGGACGGAUGGAGUAGUAUUUAACACAACACGAAUAUGAAAAAACACAAUAGUAUAGCGAAAGUACUAGUGCAUGACAUUAGAGGAGGAUGAGAAAUGCCAUUUGACGGGUUCAUAGACCUGGGGUCCCCAAUGAAUCCUCCUUUUCACAACGCUCGGCCCAACAGGCGGCACAACGAUGAUGCGCGCCUGGGCCGGCCCUUAUACGCGAUGGUAGGUCGUGACCACGAUCCGGCCACCGACCGGCGCUCCCGAUCAGGAGGCCUUGUUGGCGCCCCGACCAAGGGGCCUGGUCGAGGCUAGGGCCACAAUCCGACUCCGACCAAGCUCCCCCGAUCGGGGAUGUACCUCUGAUCGGACCGGCGCAUAUCGCUCCCUCAGUCGGACUGAUCGGGACGACCGACUGGGGACACCCACUCGGCAUAGGCUUGGGGAGCAGGUGGAGCGGAUAAGGGAAGACGCUCAGGUCAACCGCCAUACAGAGGACUGUACCUCGCCACGCCCUGUGCACGCAACGCACAGUACCACCCUGCCAUGUCAGGUGGGCACUAUGCUACCUACCCGUCACGAUGGAGCGACCUGACGAGAUGAAUAGGGAUGGAGGGCGAUGGCCACCCCGUACCCGACAACGUGGGCACUAACAAGAUUAGGCAGCACCCGUGCACCUUUUCUCUCCCUCUCUCUGACUUGUAAGGCCGUCCCCUUGAACUAUAAAGGGGGGCGCUCUCUCUCUCUCGAUCGAUCGAAGACUCUCUGACUCUCUCCAACACUUAGCGCACAUUUGAGCCCCCAUCACUCUCCUCCACUCGGACCAGAGCACGACCGAGCCUCGAACACCUCCUUCUCCACUCCUCACUCGUUUGUAUCCCCGCUGCAAACUUUGAGCACCUAGACUCAGGAAUACAAUCGACCGACCGACCCCCGACUGGACGUAGGGCCCGUUGCCCGAAGCAGUAUAAAUCCUGAGUCAUUGUGUGCUAGGUCAUAUCCGAUCAAACUACGUAUAUUUUCCAGUAACAUAUGAAGCAAUCAAGCAUUGUCUUCUAGGCUUGUUCACUUUUUGGUGCCAACCCGUUCAAACAGGCAAACCAGACCAUAGAAACUAGCUAUGCGAUUCCCACCGGGUUGGGCUAAACGAACCGCGGUUUGAAACCAGUCAACCCGCUGAGAAAGUACCUCGUUGAACUCAUCAGCAACCAAUGCAGCUACGGCACCGCCCCACAGCUAGCCUAGCAAGCGAAGCGGUAGAUGCUCAAGCUGCAGCGGCAAGAGUCUCUCAUAAAGCUCGCGACCCAUCACAUCCUGUAAAUUAGUGCAUGUUUUCUUCCAUUUUUUAUCUAUUCCUUUCUUUCGCUGCAUUGGCAACUAAGCAAGGUCGUCGAACAAGCAUGCAAGCAGAGCUGGACCUAGGAGGAUGGGCAUGCUGUCAUUUGUUUCUGCAGUGAGAUUGUUCCUGCCGUUGCCACCGAAGAUGCUAAGGUCGCCAGCCGUCUGUUAUCGGCGGCAUGACUUCAAUUUCCGACAUGGCGAACUCGUGGAGGCCGCACAAGCGCUGGUACUUCAAUUCCUUGCGAGAUAGAGAUCGUGGAUGUCGCCCUUCUUCGACUUCCCAUGGUGUAGACUUCCCAUGGUGUACUUCCCAUGAUCUCGAGCGCUCGCGACGAUCUGCUUUAUCUCUGGUUCUAAACCGCAUAGCCCGUCAAACCAACCCGACUAACCCACAAACGUACGGUUUGGUUUAGGAAACCACCCUAAACCGCCGUUGAACAGGCCUACAUAGCCUUCCCGUGAAAAAGGCCAAAAAUACGCGCAUACGCCAUAUAACAGCUCAAAAUGAAUAAAUUAAAGCCAUCCAUUCCAACGGCUGAGCCGAGCAAUCCGCCGAUUGCUGAAUGCUAGUCUUGCUGUCAUGCAGAGCUAAUUGCACAGAAGAAGCGAAUUCUAUCUAUAUAUCUGUAUAUACAACUGUACAAGUAUGGCAUGCAGAAGAAGGAUCGCUAGAUCCCAGCUACAAGCGGUGGCUGCCGGAGGAGCUUAAGCCGUCGUCGAAGUUCUGGGAGUAGCUGUGCAGGUCGUACCCGAACGUCACCGCGGCCUGCCGCCUCCGCCGCGCCGCGCGUCUCCUCAACGUGGACCUCAGCCUCGACAGCAACUUUGUCACCGCCGCCGCCGAUGACCGCCCGCCGCUCCUGGCGUGGACCCUCCUUUGGUUGCCGCCGGUGUACAGGCCCAUCACAGACGCCAUCCUCUCUUUCUUGUCUCUCGAUCGCGGCCGCGGAUCGCUCACAGAGCCACAGCCGCAGCGUUCUCACAAGGCACAAUCUGCCCGGCCUCUUUUGCUCCCUCCCUCAGUCCCUCGUAGCUACCUGCCCUGCCUACCUCUGAAGACCUUGUGCAAAAGAAAGCACCCAUGGGUGCUCCUUUAUAAGCUGGGGCAGGGGAUGUGUUUCGGCAUGCUCUGACGUCGCCGCGAGACCCGCCAGCAGCAUGGUGACGAGGCUUCCACUACAGCGAUCGUCGGAAUGAUCCAGGUAAAAGCCGAUUUCAGGCAUCUUUUCGGGAGUCGCCGACUCGCCGUCGUGCAGUCGAAAAGAAAGAUAACCGUCUACCACCAACCCCCCGCACAGUGCAUGACUGCAUGUGCACUUGGUGGUAGCCUUUGUUUCGGUCACUGAACUAGGAUGUGAGGUGGCAAAACAAAAUGGCUAUGGCAGCAUCUCGUCGUCUCAGGCUCUCAGCGUCUUUGGUUUCCGCUGCCUGCCGCCUGCCAAAUCGACCGGUGUACGAUGCCGGUGGAGAAGAUCAUAUGAAGCGACGAGCUAGAACAUUCCUUGUAAUGUAGGAAAACUAAAUCCAAAAGUGUAUAUAUAUAUAUCCACAAAGCUUCUUGGAUAUCUUCAAAAGAAGGUGUCAUCCAGUCAUCAUCAUGCGUAGGAUUGAGGUGUGAGCAUGUCAGAAAGUGUCAUCUCUACCGAUUACAACCCUAGAGAAAGAGUAAAAGGGAACGCACUAGUGUGUUAAAUUAAAGAAAAAAAUUCUAGGUGUUAAAAUCUGAUACCCCUCGUUACGCGCAGCAGCCCCCGAAUCUUGAAAGGAUAUUGCGAGUAUGAUAUGAGCUUGCACCGUAUGAAGAAGAACGUAGAUGAAUAUCGUAGAAAACCCUAAAUGAUGGCAUGGAAGCAACCGCGAUAAGAGAAUAGAAUUUUAGCAAAUCCGACCGUAGAUUCUUUAAGCACAACUUCCAAAAGAGUACAAGUGAUUGUUGCUCCCUCACGACCCUACUUGACCCUUUAGAUUCCUCCGAUUCUUGCCCUAUACAAGAAUCUAGUGCUAUAGAACUGUCUAGCCUAUCUCUCUUGAGCGCUCCUAAUUGCCUCUCACAAGUCUUAGAUGAGACCUUGGUGUUUGCCUUUGGCUUGAUUUAUUCCUAGAGGCUCCACCCCUUGUUUAUAUAAUCCCCUCCAAAAUCCUCAUACAUGCAAAUAGGAGUCCUACACUUAAAUAGAAUUCAAUGCUAAGUCCUAAUAACAUACCCUAUUAAGUCCUAAUCAAGUAGGACCAUGCAACACUAGAUGACAGGAAAGCUGCGAUUUGCAUUGCAUGCGACGGAGUCGUCAGUCGUCUGAUCGGAUUAUCGGCGUACAUCAAUAAAAGACAGGACGGUGGGUGGUGGCAGCAACAUGGGGAUGUCGCAAAAAUCAUCCAGUUGAGUCAUCAUUGUCCAAGAAUGACUGGGAAAUUUUGCUUUUGAUAACCAAAAAAAAUUACUUUUGAGGUUCUGCCCUACUAUAAUUUUAGGUUACUUCAAUACUUCCUCCAUUCCAAAUUACAAGUCAUUACAACUUUUCAAACAAUUUUAUGUUUGACCAAAAAUUAUAGAGAUGAUUACAAAAGUUUAUGGCACCCAAUAAUAUACUAUAAAAAUAUAUUUAAUGAAGAAACUUAUGCUACUUAUUAUUUGGUAUCAUAAAUGUUAUUACUUUAUUGUAUAAAUUUGGUUAAACUUGAGAUGUUUUGAUUCUCCAAGAAAGUUGGAAUGAGUUAUAAUUUGGAAAGGAGGGAGUAACAAUUACUAGCGAUAAAGCAUACCCUUGACUGCGAAAAGAGUCAAACAUACGAGCAUAUAUGGCUAACAUCAGGUAUCCCUGCCGGCUACCUCCAUUAAUCAGAGCACAUAACAGAUCGAAAUAAACAAAUUGAAGCCAUGAGCAAUCCAUUCCAACAUCUGGGCAAAGCAAUCUGCCGAUUGCUGAAUGCUGAUCGAUGGCAAGUAUAUAGUCUUGCUGAAUGCUGACCUUCUAAACAAAUAAUUGGACGAGCUAGAGCUAACUAGCUAACCACCGGAAAUCAACACUGGACUCGAUCUCUCGGUGAGGAAGAAAUAAGCACUAAUCACUUGGCUAGUUACACAGAAGCAUAUGUGCAGCAGAAGGAUCGCUCCCAGCUACAAGCGGUGGCGACUGGAGGAGGCGAGGCCGUCGUCGAAGUUCUGGGAGUAGCUGUGCAGGUCGUAGCCGAACCUCACCGCCUGCCGCCUCGGCCGCGCCGCGCUUCUUCUCCUCCACGUAGACCUCAGCCGCGACAGCAGCUGCUUCACCGCCGCCGCGGACUGGCCGCCGCUGCCGGUGUUCAGGCCCAGCACAGACGCCAUCCUCUCCCGAUCGCUCACAGAGUCACACUCGCAGUGUUCUCACAAGGCACAAGCUCGCAACUAGCUGCCCGGCCUCUUUGCUCGUCGCUGCCGGCCUCUGCAAUUACAGAUUCUGAUCAACAAGAGCUUGUGCAAAAGAAAGCACCCAUGGUGCUGCUUUAUAAGCUGGGGCAGCGGGAUCGCGGCGAGACCUGCCAGCAGCAUGGUGACGAGACAUCCACUACGGGCCUACGGCGAUCAUCGUGGACGGUCCAGGCAAAAGCCGAUUUCAGGCAUCUUUUUC